rnacentral:rRNA from 1 species
ACGGGGUGCAGCAGGCGCGAAAACUUUGCAAUGUGCGAAAGCACGACAAGGUUAAUCCGAGUGGUUUCUGCUAAAGGAACCUUUUGACAGUCCUAAAAACACUGUUGAAUAAGGGGUGGGCAAGUUCUGGUGUCAGCCGCCGCGGUAAAACCAGCACCUCAAGUGGUCAGGAUGAUUAUUGGGCCUAAAGCAUCCGUAGCCGGCUCUGUAAGUUUUCGGUUAAAUCUGUACGCUUAACGUACAGGCUGCUGGAAAUACUGCAGGGCUAGGGAGUGGGAGAGGUAGACGGUACUCGGGAGGAAGUGGUAAAAUGCUUUGAUCUCUCGAUGACCACCUGUGGCGAAGGCGGUCUACCAGAACACGUCCGACGGUGAGGGAUGAAAGCUGGGGGAGCAAACCGGAUUAGAUACCCGGGUAGUCCCAGCCGUAAACUAUGCAAACUCAGUGAUGCACUGGCUUGUGGCCAGUGCAGUGUUGCAGGGAAGCCGUUAAGUUUGCCGCCUGGGAAGUACGUACGCAAGUAUGAAACUUAAAGGAAUUGGCGGGGGAGCACCACAAGGGGUGAAGCCUGCGGUUCAAUUGGAGUCAACGCCGGA